GACGAACGCUGGCGGCGUGCCUAAUACAUGCAAGUCGAGCGAACAGACGAGGAGUUUGCUCCUCUGACGUUAGCGGCGGACGGGUGAGUAACACGUGGAUAACCUACUUAUAAGACUGGGAACACUUCGGGAAACCGGAGAUAAUACCGGAUAAUAUACUGAACCGCAUGGUUCAAUAGAGAAAGACGGUUUUGCUGUCACUAAUAGAUGGAUCUGGGCCGCAUUAGCUAGUUGGUAAGGUAACGGCUUAUCAAGGCAACGAUGCGUAUCCGAGCGGAGAGGGUGAUCGGCCACACUGGAACUGAGACACGGUCCAGACUACUACGGGAGGCAGCAGUAGGGAAUCUUCCGCAAUGGGCGAGAGCCUGACGGAGCAACGCCGCGUGAGUGAUGAAGGUCUUCGGAUCGUAAAGCUCUGUUAUUAGGGAAGAACAAAUGUGUAAGUAACUGUGCACGUCUUGACGGUAACUAAUCAGAAAGCCACGGCUAACUACGUG
rnacentral:rRNA from 1 species